rnacentral:rRNA from 1 species
UACGUAGGGGGCAAGCGUUGUCCGGAAUCAUUGGGCGUAAAGCGCGCGUAGGCGGCCCGGUAAGUCCGCUGUGAAAGUCAAAGGCUCAACCUUUGAAUGUCAGCGGAUACUGCCGGGCUAGAGUCCGGAAGAGGCGAGUGGAAUUCCUGGUGUAGCGGUGGAAUGCGCAGAUAUCAGGAGGAACACCAACGGCGAAGGCAGCUCGCUGGGACGGUACUGACGCUGAGGCGCGAAAGCGUGGGGAGCGAACAGG